rnacentral:rRNA from 1 species
UACGUAGGUGGCAAGCGUUGUCCGGAAUCACUGGGUGUAAAGGGAGCGCAGGCGGGAAGCCAAGUCAGCUGUGAAAACUACGGGCUUAACUUGUAGACUGCAGUUGAAACUGGUUUUCUUGAGUGAAGUAGAGGUUGGCGGAAUUCCGAGUGUAGCGGCGAAAUGCGUAGAUAUUCGGAGGAACACCGGUGGCGAAGGCGGCCAACUGGGCUUUAACUGACGCUGAGGCUCGAAAGUGUGGGGAGCAAACAGG